UAACGAGAAAGCCACGGCUAACUACGUGCCAGCAGCCGCGGUAAUACGUAGGUGGCAAGCGUUGUCCGGAAUUAUUGGGCGUAAAGCGCGCGCAGGCGGUCUCUUAAGUCUGAUGUGAAAGCCCCCGGCUCAACCGGGGAGGGUCAUUGGAAACUGGGAGACUUGAGUACAGAAGAGGAGAGUGGAAUUCCACGUGUAGCGGUGAAAUGCGUAGAGAUGUGGAGGAACACCAGUGGCGAAGGCGACUCUCUGGUCUGUAACUGACGCUGAGGCGCGAAAGCGUGGGGAGCAAACAGGAUUAGAUACCCUGGUAGUCCACGCCGUAAACGAUGAGUGCUAGGUGUUAGGGGUUUCGACGCCCUUAGUGCCGAAGUUAACACAUUAAACACUCCGCCUGGGGAGUACGACCGCAAGGUUGAAACUCAAAGGAAUUGACGGGGGCCCGCACAAGCAGUGGAGCAUGUGGUUUAAUUCGAAGCAACGCGAAGAACCUUACCAGGUCUUGACAUCCUUUGACCACCCUAGAGAUAGGGCUUUCCCCUUCGGGGGACAAAGUGACAGGUGGUGCAUGGUUGUCGUCAGCUCGUGUCGUGAGAUGUUGGGUUAAGUCCCGCAACGAGCGCAACCCUUGACCUUAGUUGCCAGCAUUCAGUUGGGCACUCUAAGGUGACUGCCGGUGAUAAACCGGAGGAAGGUGGGGAUGACGUCAAAUCAUCAUGCCCCUUAUGACCUGGGCUACACACGUGCUACAAUGGAUGGUACAAAGGGUUGCGAAGCCGUGAGGUGAAGCCAAUCCCAGAAAGCCAUUCUCAGUUCGGAUUGCAGGCUGCAACUCGCCUGCAUGAAGCCGGAAUUGCUAGUAAUCGCGGAUCAGCAUGCCGCGGUGAAUACGUUCCCGGGCCUUGUACACACCGCCCGUCACACCACGAGAGUUUGUAACACCCGAAGUCGGUGGGGUAACCUUUUGGAGCCAGCCGCCUAAGGUGGGACAGAUGAUUGGGGUGAAGUCGUAACAAGGUAACC
rnacentral:rRNA from 2 species